UUUGAGGACUGGGAACUGGGAGCUUUUGUUUUACAAACUUGAAUACCACUUUUUUUUUUUUUCCUUUUCCUUACCCACCUUUGCCACCGCCCCCCAUGACUUUAAAAUGCUUUUUUUUUUUUUUUUUUUGGAGACAGAGUUGCUCUGUCGCACAGGCUGGAAUUGGGCCAUUGCACUCUAGCCUUGGUAACAAGAGCGAGACUCUGUCUCAAAAAAAAAAAAAAAAUUGAUGAACAGAGAUAAAUCCAGAAAUGUAUGCUGAUUAUUAGGACAGAAGCAAUACAGCAGC
rnacentral:lncRNA from 1 species